GUGCCAGCAGCCGCGGUAAUUCCAGCUCCAAUAGCGUAUAUUAAAGUUGUUGCGGUUAAAAAGCUCGUAGUUGGAUCUCGGCAAGUAGAGGGCGGUAUGCUUCGUAGCAUUACUGCCCUAUUACUUGUAGUUUUGCCAGAGGUUCCUGGGUGCUCUUAAUCGAGUGUCUAGGGAUGCUGGCAGGUUUACUUUGAAAAAAUUAGAGUGCUCAAAGCAGGCUAUUACGCUUGAAUAUUCGUGCAUGGAAUAAUAGAAUAGGAAGUUGUUUCUAUUUUGUUGGUUUUCGGAAAUCGACUUAAUGAUUAAUAGGGACAGUCGGGGGCAUUUGUAUUCAAACGACAGAGGUGAAAUUCUUGGACCGUUUGAAGACAAACUACUGCGAAAGCAUUUGCCAAGAAUGUUUUCAUUAAUCAAGAACGAAAGUUAGAGGUUCGAAGGCGAUUAGAUACCGCCCUAGUUCUAACCAUAAACGAUGCCAGCUAGCGAUCUGAGGACGUUUUUUUUGUAGACUCCUCAGGAAGCUUCCGGGAAACCAAAGCGUGUGGGUUCCGGGGGAAGUAUGGUUGCAAAGCUGAAACUUAAAGGAAUUGACGGAAGGGCACCACCAGGAGUGGAGCCUGCGGCUUAAUUUGACUCAACACGGGAAAUCUCACCAGGCCCGGACACUGGAAGGAUUGACAGAUUGAGAGCUCUUUCUCGAUUCGGUGGGUGGUGGUGCAUGGCCGUUCUUAGUUGGUGGAGUGAUUUGUCUGGUUAAUUCCGAUAACGAACGAGACUCUGUCCUGCUAAAUAGUGUCAGCCUCUCUUCUGGGCUGACAAUUCUUCUUAGAGGGACUGGCGGCUCCUAGCCGCACGAGAUAGAGCAAUAACAGGUCUGUGAUGCCCAA
rnacentral:rRNA from 1 species